AGGCAGCUCCGCUCCUCUCGUGAGACUGGAGGCUUCAGCUCUCAGCCGAGCGGACCUGGCCAGGCUGCCCGGGUCUCCAACGACCAACAGCAGCCUUUUUAACGCCGUUUUUUGGGGGGAAGCGAGGCUUUCGGACACCGACGCUCAUGUAUAUUUACCCAGCCGUGUAUCUGCGGGCGUAAGGACGGCAGGACCGAGCAAUGUCUGGUUUCACCAACCUGAACAGCUCCGCCGGCUACAGCCAGAACUCAACGCCGAACGGCGGAGCUGCGCCCCCCUAUCAGAAUGGUCCAGUGCAGACAUACCCAUCCAUGUACCCACCUGCAGGUUACUAUGGAGCCCCACCUCAACAACAGGGCUACUCCACCAUUCCUGGCCAUGCUGCACCUGCUCCCAACAAAGCACCCAUCACGAACAAUGCCCACAGUGCUAACUACUACCACAACAACCAUCAGCAGCAGCAGCAAAACCACCUCCCGCAGCAUCAUGUAGCACCCUCGCCAUACAGUGCUCCUCUGAGCUCUGCCCCUCCUUCUCAGCCAUAUGCCGCCCUUCCCUCUGCAGCGCCUCCACCAACAAAUGCCCACUACAACCAACAGCCAUUCCAGCCGCAUCCACCCUAUGCCACUCCAGGAUCCUACUAUGGACAGCAGUCAUACCAUCCUUCCCCAGCACAGCAGCAUCCCAGCUUGGUUCCUGUGACAGCUAGCGGCCCUGGAGCUCCCCUCUGCCCAAUUGUUUCUUACCCGUCUGCUCCAGGAAGUAGCCAGUAUGGCACCCUCAGUUCCUCCCAGAGCACUUCUACACCCGUAGGCAUACCCACCCAGAUGGUGGGUGCUCCCCUACACCAGUACAGCGCUGCACCUCCACCCUCUACGACAGCAGUGCAGCCUGGGUACGGUGUGGGUCCUCCCGGUCAGACGGCGCCAACGGUUGUCAACGGUCAAGGAAGCACAGCCCACAACGCAGUCCACCAACGCUACACCCAAAGCCACCAGGCCUCCCUGAGCUAUGACUCCUACAGUGGGGUCCCUCAAAGCAGUGGUGGUGCAGACACAGACCAGCCGCCCUCAGGAACCCCCUCCACUUCAGUCCAUUCCUCACCGGGCCAUCACCAAGGCGUGCAGUACGGAUAUGUUGCUAAUAGUGGAGCUAGCUCUGCCUCUGCCACCACCUCAGGCCCAGCAGCAGCAGCAGCAGCCCCCUCGUCAUCCAGCUCUGAUGAUGAUGAUGAGGAGGAGGAUGAGGAUGAGGAAGCAGGUGGCGACACCUCCUCUUCCACUACUGGCAGUGCCUCUCCGGUGCCCAACAGCUACGAUUCCUUAGAAGGCGGCAGUUAUCCAGAUUCCAUGCCACCCUCUAAUGAUAUGACCAACCAGGCUCCUCCUUAUGGUAGCUAUGGUUACCCCAGCAUGCAGUCAGCCUAUCAGCAGGGACCAGCCUCCCACACGGAUGCCUCACCUUCCCACGACCUGUACGGGCAGUCAAGCUACCAGCAGUACUCCAAGCCAUUCCCCAACCUCUCCCAGCUGUCUGCCGCCCUCGGUGGGCUGAGCGGGGUUCCUGAGCUGGAGGUGGAGGCGCUGAGGCCCGUCAACCUGCUGCAGGAGAGGAACCUGCUGCCCCCGCGGCCCUUGGAGCCCCCUGAACCCAACGUCAGCUCCGAUCUUAAGAAGGUCAACUGCAGUCCGCAGACUUUCAGGUGUACCCUGACCAGCAUCCCCCAGACCCAGGCUUUACUCAACAAGGCCAGACUCCCUCUGGGGCUCCUCCUGCACCCCUUCAGAGAUCUACAGCAGUUACCGGUGAUCACAUCGAACACAAUAGUGCGCUGUCGCUCCUGUCGCACCUACAUCAACCCAUUUGUCACCUUCCUGGACCAGCGCAGGUGGAAGUGCAACCUGUGUUAUCGGGUCAACGAUGUUCCAGAUGAGUUUAUGUACAACCCAGUCACCAGGUCGUAUGGAGAACCACACAAGAGGCCAGAGGUCCAAAACUCUACAGUGGAGUUCAUUGCCUCAUCAGACUACAUGUUGCGGCCUCCUCAGCCGGCGGUCUACCUGUUUGUGCUCGACGUUUCUCACAAUGCUGUAGAAGCAGGAUACCUGAAGUACUUCUGUGAAUCACUUCUUGAGAACCUGACCAAGUUGCCGGGGGAUAUGCGCACCAGGGUGGGCUUCCUCACCUUUGACAGCACCAUCCACUUUUAUAACCUCCAAGAGGGUCUGUCUCAGCCGCAGAUGCUGGUCGUGUCGGACAUUGACGAUGUCUUUAUCCCAUCCCAUGACAGUCUGAUGGUGAACCUAAAGGAGAGCAAAGAGCUGGUGAAGGACUUGCUGACGUCGCUACCGGAGAUGUUCAGCCAGACCAGGGAGACCCACAGUGCCCUCGGUCCUGCCUUACAGGCCGCCUAUAAGCUCAUGUCCCCGACCGGCGGCCGCAUCACGGUGUUCCAGACUCAGCUGCCGACGCUGGGUGCCGGGGCGCUGCAGUCGAGAGAAGACCCCAAUCAGCGCUCGAGUGCGAAGGGAGUACAGCACCUUGGCCCAGCCACAGACUUCUAUAAGAAACUUGCACUGGACUGCUCAGGACAACAGAUUGGAGUGGAUCUUUUCCUGCUCAGCUCGCAGUACGCCGACCUCGCCUCAUUAGCAUGUAUGUCCAAGUAUUCAGCGGGCAGCGUCUUCUACUACCCCUCCUUUCAUUACAUCCACAACCCGGCUCAGCUGGAGAAGUUCCAGAAGGAUCUGGAGCGCUACCUCACCAGAAAGAUCGGCUUUGAGGCCGUCAUGAGAAUACGAUGCACUAAAGGUUUAUCCAUUCACACGUUCCACGGGAACUUCUUUGUGCGCUCUACUGACCUGCUGUCCCUGGCCAAUGUGAACCCAGACUCUGCCUUCGCUGUCCAGAUGUCAAUCGAAGACUCUCUGGCGGACUCGUCGCUGGCCUGCUUCCAGGCUGCUCUGCUCUACACGUCUAGUAGAGGUAAGAGGCGUAUCAGGGUCCACACUCUGUGUCUGCCGGUGGUCAACCAGCUGAGUGAUGUGUAUGCCGGAGCUGACGUCCAGGCAAUCACCUGUCUGUUAGCCAACAUGGCUAUCGACAGGUCCGUAUCAUCCAGCCUGUCGGACGCACGUGACGCUCUGGUGAACGCCGUGGUGGACCUGGUGAGCGCCUACAAGAGCAACGUGUCGAACCUGCAGCAGUCCGGACUUGUCGUCCCCGCGUCCAUGCGCCUCUUCCCCCUCUACAUCCUCGCUCUCCUCAAACAGAAAGCGCUGCGGACCGGCACCAGCACGCGGCUGGACGAGCGGGUCUUUGCCAUGUGCGAGUUCAAGACGCAGCCGCUGCAGCAGCUGAUGCGAAUGGUUCAUCCUGACCUGUACAGGCUGGACAACCUGUCUGACCAGGGGGCGCUCCAUCUGAACGACACCGUGGUUCCCCAGCCUCAUCUGCUCCACCUGUCUGCUGAGAGGCUGAGCAGAGACGGAGCUUUCCUCAUGGACUGCGGCAACGUGUUUUAUCUGUGGAUUGGCAAAUGCUGCAAUGAAAUGUUCAUCCGGGAUGUUCUGGGCUGCCCCAACUACGCUUCAAUACCCCCCAACAUGAGUCACAUUCCUGAGCUGGAGACUCCUCUUUCUGAGAGGGUACGAGCGUUCCUCGACUGGCUGCAGGACAACCGAGCGUUCAGCUGCACGAUGCACGUCGUCAAAGACGAUGCUUCAGCUAAAGCCACUUUGUUCCAGCACCUGGUGGAGGACCAGUCCGAGGUGGCCUCUUCCUACCGUGAUUUCCUGCAGCACAUUCAGCAGCAAAUGUCCAAGUAGGCUCCUAUCAUGCUAAGAGAAACUUCGGCCACUAGAUUCCUGAAACCAGAGCAGGACUGGACUUCAGCUCGUAGAGUGAGAACUAGCGUUAGCCAGCAGUGGUCUCCCAUCGCUCCCUCAGACCAGUUUCAGUGAGGUGGGUUUCCUUUCACAGUCUUACUGAACAAAUCCAUCUCCGCAGCCCGUCGGCCGGCUGCGAUCCGACCAUCACAAGGGAAGGAGGAGCGUGUCGUCGCUGCCUCGUAACCACUGUCGAACCUGUUCGAAGAAAGAAGGGGAAAGAGGGUCAAGCCAAGAAGAUGCCACUUCAAACAUGUUCAGUUCUGUUUGUUUAUGUGAGCCUAACAUGUAGCUAGUGCUGUUUCUGUUUUCUUUUUUUUUUUCUUCUAUAAUUUAUUCCCUUCCUAUUUUUCAUUCUGAGACUAUUUCGAAUACACUGGAGACCGGAAACAAGAGUAUCGGUAUGUGCUUUGGAAACGCAUGUCGCCGUCCGCUGCUAGUCCGGUGAUGAACGACGGCCCUUCAGGAACGAGAUUCGACAGCAGCUGGACAUUUGAAACUCCUGUUGGCUGCUUCUUCUUCUCUGCUCCACUGUGUGAAACCCCCGAGAAGUCAAGAUCGACACCCGGUUUGGACGUUAUCAAACCCUUCAAUAGGUCUCUCUCUAUCUCCCCACACAUCCACCAACCACUGGAACACAUCUCCAAAGUUCUGCCAGGCCAGCUCAGCUUCCCCUCAGAAGAAGUGGUGCCACCUGCCAGAUGAAGGAGCCUUUUGAGAGGAUGCUGGCAUCGUGAUUGGACUGUACUUUGGUCUGUUCCAAUCCAGCUUCAGCUCCAGAGACGGCAGGCGGGACGAGUCAACGGAGGCCGGGUGGACGAAGGCAUGCAGCUGAGUACAAUCCAGAAAACAACAGAGGAGGAGUGCAGCAGCCCAGAACCAGAACAGAAUAGCAUGACCAAAGAACUACAGAUUCUUCACAACCUGCUCAAACUCUUGGUACAGGACCUCACCACAUGGGUCAAGAAGGUUUCCGUCUCAUUUCUACUCUGAAGCUCACCUUCUCCUGCUCAAACUGCUGACAAAUGUUUCUGCUGCUCUAAAGUCUGGUCUCCAGAACUUCCUAAAAACUCUCAAAGGCUCUUCUGCUGCAGGUUGCUUUGUAGAACUGUUCCAGAAAACCUCACUAAACCACAUGGAGGGGCCUCAAGAUAGUCGUCCAAAUGAAACCAUACAAAAACCAAACUAGAACAACCCAAACGCUAAAGUCUCCUGUAGCCUACCAGAGAACCUCUGAGAACAGAGAAUCAGGACAGGAACUCUUACCUUCUGGACAACCAACAUUGGUUCACAAACAAGAAUACAGAAUGUGUCUGACCAAAAACCUCUAAAGACUCACUACAGCCAAGAUAAAGACACAACUCAGCUGCACCAAAUCCACUAAUCACUGCACACAUUAGCACCAUGUGCUAACUGUGGCUAAAGAACCACAUUUACCAAGACAACUAUCUGGUACAAAGCCCUGAAACACACCAAGAAACACAUUAAAGACGAUUUUACUGCUGGAAGCUGCAAGCCAACGCCUAAAGAACAAACUAAAGCAAUGGAGCCAAACCCGGUUCAGUGGUGAAGAGAAGCAGAGGAAAUGUUUGUCUGCAGCUAAAUAAAGCAGGAAGACACUGA